rnacentral:rRNA from 1 species
CACGGGGGGAGCAAGCGUUGUUCGGAAUCACUGGGCGUAAAGGGCGUGUAGGCGGUCUGGUAAGUGGGGUGUGAAAGCCCCCGGCUCACCCGGGGAUCUGCAUUCCAUACUGCCAGACUUGAGUAUGGGAGAGGACAGGGGAAUUCCUGGUGUAGCGGUGAAAUGCGUAGAUAUCAAGAGGAACACCAGUGGCGAAGGCGAGUCCCUGGACGAUACCUGACACUGAGGCACGAAAGCUAGGGGAGCAAACAGG